rnacentral:rRNA from 1 species
AGCAGUAGCCGCGGUAAUACGUAGGGUGCGAGCGUUAAUCGGAAUUACUGGGCGUAAAGCGUGCGCAGGCGGUUAUAUAAGACAGAUGUGAAAUCCCCGGGCUCAACCUGGGACCUGCAUUUGUGACUGUAUAGCUAGAGUACGGUAGAGGGGGAUGGAAUUCCGCGUGUAGCAGUGAAAUGCGUAGAUAUCUGGAGGAACAUCUGUGGCGAAAGCGGCUCACUGGACAAUAACUGACGCUGAUGCACGAAAGCUAGGGGAGCAAACAGGAUUAGAUACCCGUGUAGUCCCUGUCUCUUAUAC